GGCGUGGUGGUCUAAUGGUUAGCUAGUUGGAUUCCGGAUUGAGAGGUCCAGGUUCGAGCCCUGGCCUGGGGUCA